AGUUUGAUCCUGCUCAGAUUGAACGCUGGCGGGAUGCUUUGCAUAUACGCAAGUCGAACGGCAGCACGGACUUCGGUCUGGUGGCGAGUGGCGAACGGGUGAGUAAUGUAUCGAACGCUCAGUAGCGGUGAUAACUACGCGAAAGCGUAGCUAAUACCGCACAUUAUCUUCGGGAAAGUGGGACCUUCAGCCUCGCACUAUUAGAGCGGCUCGAUAUCGGAUUAGCUAGUUGGUGGGGUAACGGCUCACCGGUUAUGACGAUCUGUAGCUGGUUUGAGAGGACGACCAGCCACACUGACUGAGACACGCCCAGACUCACGGAGCAGCAGUGGGGAAAUGGGAUGUAUCGGGGAAACCCUGAUCCAGCCAUCUUGGCGUGUGCGAUGAAGGCCUUCGGUUAGAAAGCACUUUUGGCAGGAAGAACGGCACGGGAUAAUACCCCGUGCAACUGACGGUACCUGCAGCACAAGCGCAAUCACACCACGUGCCAGCAGCCGCGGUAAUAGUCGUAGGGUGCAAGCGUUAAUCGGAAUUACUGAGCGCAAAGCGUGCGCAGGCGGUUCGGAAAGAAAGAUGUGAAAUCCUGUGAGCUUAACUUUGGAACUGUAUUUUUAAUCACCGAGCUAGAGUGUGUCAGAGGGAGGUGAAUUCCGCGUGUAGCAGUGAAAUGCGUAGAUAUGCGGAGGAACACCGAUGGCGAAGGCAGCCUCCUGGGAUAACACUGACGUAUCAUACUCGAAAAGCGUGGGGAGCAAACAGGAUUAGAUACCAGAACCACGCCCUAAACGAUGUCAACUAGCUGUUGGGGCCUUCGGCCUGGUAUGCGCCAACGCGUGAAGCGGACCGCUCUGGGGAGUACGGUCAAAGAUUAAAACUCAAAAAGGAAUUCCCGACGGGGACCCGCACAAGCGGUGGAUGAUGUGAUUAUCUGAUGCAACGCGAAAACCUUACCUACCCUGAUGUCUGGAAUCCCGGAAGAGACGGGGAGUGCUCGCAAGAGAACCGAACACAGGUGCUGUAUGGCUGUCGUCAGCUCGUGUCGUGAGAUGUUGUCAAGUCCGCAACGAGCGCAACCCUUGUCAUUAGUUGCUACGAAAGGGCACCCUAAUGAGACUUUGCCGGUGACAAACCGGAGGAAGGUGGGGAUGACGUCAAGUCCUCAGCGGCUCCCAUGGGUAGGGCUUCACACGUCAUACAAUGGUCGGGACAGAGGUCGCCAACCCGCGAGGGGGAGCCAAUCCCAGAAACCCGAUCGUAGUCCGGAUCGCAGUCUGCAACUCGACUGCGUGAAGUCGGAAUCGCUAGUAAUCGCGGAUCAGCAUGUCGGGUGAAUACGUUCCCGGGUCUUGUACACACCGCCCGUCACACCAUGGGGAGUGGGUUUUACCAGAAGUAGUUAGCCUAACCGUAAGGAGGGCGAUUACCACGGUAGGAUUCAUGACUGGGGUGAAGUCGUAACAAGGU
rnacentral:rRNA from 1 species